rnacentral:lncRNA from 10 species
CCAAAAUUAAGCAGUUUUAAUUUGACCUCUGAGGCACAAAUACAAAAUGGCCAAAUACUACAGUUUUUAUAAUCUAUCUCUUUCAUCGUAAGUAACUGAUUCAUUCCAUUCUCUAUAGAGAAGUGUUCUGGGUGAGACAAGGCUUGAAAGAGACAAAGAAGGCUGGAGCCCCGUGGCAGAUGAGAUGGUUAGAUCUGCAGGCAUACUAACUGGAAGAGAUACAACAGAGGCUCCCUGGAAGAAGGAUGCCAGACACAGUUGAGAGCACAAGACUGUACCAAAAACAAGAGAUUAAAUGACUUUAACAUAUUAAAUGCUGAAUACAGAAGUUCCCCCAGCUAGAACUCCCAACUAGGCUUCCAGAAUGCAGGCAACCACACUGCUAUCCUUUAGGCAGGAGUUUAGAAGACUCACCUUUGGACAACCUGACCAGCCAAGAGAAGAGACCUAAGGAUCCUAACAUUGUAGAUUCCCCAACCUAAGCCCUCUGAAAUCACCCUAUGAUGAGGCUCAGAGUCAACAAACCCUAUCCAUGCCUUCAGAGCAUUCAGUGUUUUUAGAUUAACACUGAAUAGACAGUAAUCAAGAAUACUAGAUAUUGGAUGAACGCCUCCAAAAUGGAAGACAGAGAUCAAAACAAACAAAAAGGAAUUUGAGGGAAGCAUAAGCAUGUACAGGAAGAACUCCAAAAUAAAUUAUGCUCAGAGAGCUAAGAGAGGAUACUGCAUCUGUGAAACAAGAAUAGCAUGCUAUGAAAGAUAACACUUAGGAAAUAAAACGUGUGAAUUUUAUGGUAUGUAAAUUAAACGUCAAUACAGCUAUUUUAAAAAUGGAGUGAUGCUUUCGAAUUUCUGAAGAAAAAUUAUUUCCACCACAGAAAGAGCUAAACUAUCAUUUUAAGUUUGUUGAUAAAUACAUUUUCUAAUAUAUACAUAUAUUAUAUAUUUUAUAUAUAUAUAUAUAUAAAAUUUGCUCCCCAGGUACCCUAUUCUCAUGAAGAUUCUGAAAAUUUUUUAAAAAGAAAUAAGAUUAUAGAACAAAGACAAAAGGAAUUCCCAGGGCAACAGUGAAGUGUGAUCUCAAGAAGACAGCUGCGCACCAAACACAAAGGGCAUAACUCAACCAGACUGAAACAGUGAGAAUCAAGAGACAGAUCUCAUGAAGACUGUCACUGAGAUUCCUGCAGCCAUUACUGUUUUUGUUUUUGGAGAUGGAGUCUCACUCUGUCGCCCAAGCUGGGUGCAGUGGCGCGAUCUUGGCUCACUGCAACCUCUGCCUCCUGGGUUCUCCUGUCUCAGCCUCCCGAGUAGCUGGGACUACAGAUGCACACCACCAUGCCCGGCUAAUUUUUUGUAUUUUAGUAGAGACAGGGUUUCACUGUGUUGGCCAGGCUGGUCUUGAACUCCUGAGCUCAGGCAAUCCGCCCACCUCGGCCUCCCAUAAGUGGUAGAAUUACAGGCGUGAGCCACCGUGCCCAGCCUUAUACUGUUUUUCUAAUGUGAAGAUAGCCCGCCUGGGUAAGCCUGAUCCAGAUAUCUUUAGUUGGUCUUGUUUGAACUCAUGUUGCUAAAAGUUCUUGCCCAGAUGCCUGAAUCAGCUGAUAACUCUCAUUCCACCCGAAAGAAAAGUUCUGCUUUGAUCUACCUCUGAAAGGACUAAUUUGAAUAUUAUAAAAUCAAAUUAUUUCUCAAUCUUAGCAAUCUUAUACCUGAACUCAAGACAAAUACAUGAAGUAAGCAACACUAAUACUGUGAUUAAUAAAUUAUUUACUAGAAUUUUUUAUUUACUAGAAAUUUUUAUUUACUAGAAAUGUUUUCCUUGCAAAAGCAGCAGUGUGAACUUCUAACUACUUUGCAGAAAUAAAAUUAUUAAAUUCUACAACCAUUUACAUAUUCUGCCUACUUUUUACUAAAAGCAAAAUGGGAUAGUGAAUGUUUUACGGACAGCUACAUUUUACUGAAAAGUAACAGUAAACAAAAAUAAAAUUUUUUGUUUUUGAGAUGGAGUCUCUGUCGCCCAGACUGGAAUGCAGUGGUGCAAUCUUGGCUCACUGCAAGCUCCGCC